rnacentral:tRNA from 1 species
AAUAAGGUAGCUUAAUUAAAAGUAUUUAAUUUACAAUUAAAAGAUAAAAUAGUUUUCUUUAUUA